UAGGGAAUCUUCGGCAAUGGACGAAAGUCUUACCGAGCAACGCCGCGUGAGUGAAGAAGGUUUUCGGAUCGUAAAACUCUGUUGUUAGAGAAGAACAAGGACGUUAGUAACUGAACGUCCCCUGACGGUAUCUAACCAGAAAGCCACGGCUAACUACGUGCCAGCAGCCGCGGUAAUACGUAGGUGGCAAGCGUUGUCCGGAUUUAUUGGGCGUAAAGCGAGCGCAGGCGGUUUCUUAAGUCUGAUGUGAAAGCCCCCGGCUCAACCGGGGAGGGUCAUUGGAAACUGGGAGACAUGAGUGCAGAAGAGGAGAGUGGAAUUCCAUUUGUAGCGGUGAAAUGCGUAGAUAUAUGGAGGAACACCAGUGGCGAAGGCGGCUCUCUGGUCUGUAACUGACGCUAAGGCUCGAAAGCGUGGGGAGCAAACAGG
rnacentral:rRNA from 1 species